GACGAACGCUGGCGGCGUGCUUAACACAUGCAAGUCGAACGGAAAGGCCCUGCUUUUGUGGGGUGCUCGAGUGGCGAACGGGUGAGUAACACGUGAGUAACCUGCCCUUGACUUUGGGAUAACUUCAGGAAACUGGGGCUAAUACCGGAUAGGAGCUCCUGCUGCAUGGUGGGGGUUGGAAAGUUUCGGCGGUUGGGGAUGGACUCGCGGCUUAUCAGCUUGUUGGUGGGGUAGUGGCUUACCAAGGCUUUGACGGGUAGCCGGCCUGAGAGGGUGACCGGACAAGUUGGGACUGAAAUACGGCCCAGACUCCUACGGGAGGGAGGAGUGGGGUAUAUGGCACAGUGGGGGGAAGCCUGAUGCAGCAACGCCGCGUGCGGGAUGACGGCCUUCGGGUUGUAACCCGCUUUCGCCUGUGACGAAGGGUGAGUGACGGUAAUGGGUAAAGAAGCACCGGCUAACUACGUG
rnacentral:rRNA from 1 species